UGGGCUAGUUUGUACAUGCUAAGGUGAAGGGGUGGAGUCUCAGACUAGGCUGGCUUGUGCAGGCUGAGGUGAAGGGGUGGGGUCUUGGGCAGGACAGGCUUUUGCAGGCUAGGGUGAAGGGGUGGAGUCUCAGACUGGGCUGGCUUGUGCAUGCUAAGGUGAAGGGGUGGGGUCUUGGGCAGGGCAGGCUUUUGCAGGCUAGGGUGAAGGGGUGGAGUCUCAGACUGGGCUGGCUUGUGCAUGCUAAGGUGAAGGGGUGGGGUCUUGGGCAGGACAGGCUUUUGCAGGCUAGGGUGAAGGGGUGGAGUCUCAGAUUGGGCUGGCUUGUGCAUGCUAAGGUGAAGGGGUGGAGACUUGGGAUAGGCAAGCCUGUGCAGGCUGAGGUGAAGGGGCGGGGUCUUGGGCGGGGCAGGCUUUUGCAGGGUGGAGUCUCAGACUGGGCUAG